rnacentral:tRNA from 1 species
GGUCUAUUCGCUCAAUUGGUUAGAGCGUCGUGUUAAUAAUCUAAAAGCCACAAGUUCGAAUCCUGCAUGGGCCA